rnacentral:rRNA from 1 species
UAGGGAAUCUUCGGCAAUGGACGAAAGUCUGACCGAGCAACGCCGCGUGAGUGAAGAAGGUUUUCGGAUCGUAAAACUCUGUUGUUAGAGAAGAACAAGGACGUUAGUAACUGAACGUCCCCUGACGGUAUCUAACCAGAAAGCCACGGCUAACUACGUGCCAGCAGCCGCGGUAAUACGUAGGUGGCAAGCGUUGUCCGGAUUUAUUGGGCGUAAAGCGAGCGCAGGCUGUUUCUUAAGGCUGAUGUGAAAGCCCCCGGCUCAACCGGGGAGGGUCAUUGGAAACUGGGAGACUUGAGUGCAGAAGAGGAGAGUGGAAUUCCAUGUGUAGCGGUGAAAUGCGUAGAUAUAUGGAGGAACACCAGUGGCGAAGGCGGCUCUCUGGUCUGUAACUGACGCUGAGGCUCGAAAGCGUGGAGAGCAAACAAG